rnacentral:rRNA from 1 species
GAUGAACGCUGGCGGCGUGCCUAAUACAUGCAAGUCGAGCGAACGGACGAGAAGCUUGCUUCUCUGAUGUUAGCGGCGGACGGGUGAGUAACACGUGGAUAACCUACCUAUAAGACUGGGAUAACUUCGGGAAACCGUAGCUAAUACCGGAUAAUAUUUUGAACCGCAUGGUUCAAAAGUGAAAGACGGUCUUGCUGUCACUUAUAGAUGGAUCCGCGCUGCAUUAGCUAGUUGGUAAGGUAACGGCUUACCAAGGCAACGAUGCAUAGCCGACCUGAGAGGGUGAUCGGCCACACUGGAACUGAGACACGGUCCAGACUCCUACGGGUGGCAGCAGUAGGGAAUCUUCCGCAAUGGGCGAAAGCCUGACGGAGCAACGCCGCGUGAGUGAUGAAGGUCUUCGGAUCGUAAAACUCUGUUAUUAGGGAAGAACAUAUGUGUAAGUAACUGUGCACAUCUUGACGGUACCUAAUCAGAAAGCCACGGCUAACUACGUG